rnacentral:lncRNA from 1 species
GUAGCUAUUAAGAGGUUUCGUAAUGAAUUGGGCUUUGAAGUUAAAAAUGUACUAUUAGAAAAUUAGUCAUUAGUGAUAUUUAUUUACGCUACUAAAAGAUCAACGAAUGCAGCUAAAAGUUUUAGCAGCAUAUGACACCAAAUACUGCCUAUGCCAAUGUUGCUAAAAUUAUUAGUAGUAUUUAUAAUAAAUGCGGCCAAUGUAAGUCAAUUAGUAUCAUUAGGAACAUACCGCUAAAAGGGAUUAAAUACUAAUUUUAAGUUGUUUAUUAGUGG